rnacentral:tRNA from 1 species
UGGCUCAGAGGUUAAAGCAUCUGCCUGCAAUGUAGGAGACCCAGGUUCAAUCCCUGG